rnacentral:rRNA from 1 species
UACGGGGGGGGCAAGCGUUGUUCGGAAUUACUGGGCGUAAAGGGCGCGUAGGCGGCCUUCUAAGUCGGACGUGAAAUCCCUCGGCUUAACCGAGGAACUGCGUCUGAUACUGAAAGGCUUGAAUCCGGGAGAGGGAUGUGGAAUUCCAGGUGUAGCGGUGAAAUGCGUAGAUAUCUGGAGGAACACCGGUGGCGAAGGCGGCAUCCUGGACCGGUAUUGACGCUGAGGCGCGAAAGCUAGGGGAGCAAACGGGG